rnacentral:rRNA from 1 species
UACAGAGGUCUCAAGCGUUGUUCGGAUUCAUUUGGCGUAAAGGGUGCGUAGGCGGCGCGGUAAGUCGGGUGUGAAAUCUUGGAGCUUAACUCCGAAACUGCAUUCGAUACUGCCGUGCUUGAGGACUGGAGAGGAGACUGGAAUUUACGGUGUAGCGGUGAAAUGCGUAGAUAUCGUAAGGAAGACCAGUGGCGAAGGCGGGUCUCUGGACAGUUCCUGACGCUGAGGCACGAAGGCCAGGGGAGCAAACGGG